AAUUACAACCAUUUCCUAGUGGUCUUAAUGGAUUUGAUACCAUUAUAAAUCCACAUUUAAGUGUGUUUGGGCUAGAUAAGUAUUGGGAUGGAUGACCUCCCGGGAAGUCUUAGUGUUUUUACUU
rfam:Picea glauca, whole genome shotgun sequence.